rnacentral:misc_RNA from 1 species
AAGUCGUAACAAGGUUUCCGUAGGUGAACCUGCGGAAGGAUCAUUAUAGAGAGGGGCUUCACCGCUCCGGGGGCUCCGGCCCCCACCUCUACACCCUGUGUCUAUAUACCUAUCUGUUGCUUUGGCGGGUCCGGAUUUCCAUCGUCAGUGGUCCCGGAGUGCGCCCGUCAAUAGCCCCCACAAUUCGUCUUAUCGGUGAUGUCUGAGCUCAUAUAGAAUAAACAAAACUUUCAACAACGGAUCUCUUGGUUCUG